AUACGGAGGGUGCAAGCGUUACUCGGAAUCACUGGGCGUAAAGCGCGCGCAGGCGGGCUGAUAAGUUGGAUGUGAAAGCCUACGGCUCAACCGUAGAACUGCAUCCAAAACUGUCAGUCUAGAGUGUGGGAGAGGAAGAUGGAAUUAGUUGUGUAGGGGUAAAAUCCGUAGAGAUAACUAGGAAUACCAAAAGUGAAGGCAAUCUUCUGGAACACUACUGACGCUGAGGCGCGAAGGCGUGGGGAGCAAACAGGAUUAGAAACCCCAGUAGUCC
rnacentral:rRNA from 1 species